UGGCCUUGACAUUGAUAGAACACCGUAGAGAUACAGUGGUGCCCUUCGGGGAGCUUGAAAACAGGUGCUGCACGGCUGUCGUCAGCUCGUGUCGUGAGAUGUUGGGUUAAGUCCCGCAACGAGCGCAACCCUCGUCCUUAGUUGCCAGCAGGUUAAGCUGGGCACUCUAAGGAGACUGCCUUCGCAAGGAGGAGGAAGGUGAGGACGACGUCAAGUCAUCAUGGCCCUUACGGCCAGGGCUACACACGUGCUACAAUGGGGCGUACAGAGUGUUGCGAUACCGCGAGGUGGAGCUAAUCACUUAAAGCGUCUCUCAGUUCGGAUUGGAGUCUGCAACUCGACUCCAUGAAGC
rnacentral:rRNA from 1 species